rnacentral:lncRNA from 1 species
AUGGCAUUGUCACCUCAGUGUCACCUCAUUGUCACCUGUGUCACCUGUGUCACACCUGUGUCACACCUGCGGCGCUGGAGCUGCCCUACCCCUACCUGGAACCUUCCGUGGUGCAGGAGAGCAUCUCCAUCUGAUGGCAUUGUCACCUGUGUCACCUGUGUCACCUGUGUCACCUGUGUCACCUGUGUCACACCUGUGUCACCUCAUUGUCACCUGUGUCACACCUGUGUCACCUGUGUCACCUCAUUGUCACCUGUGUCACCUGUGUCACACCUGCGGCGCUGGAGCUGCCCUACCCCUACCUGGAACCUUCCGUGGUGCAGGAGAGCAUCUCCAUCUGAUGGCAUUGUCACCUGUGUCACCUGUGUCACCUGUGUCACCUGUGUCACCUGUGUCACACCUGUGUCACCUCAUUGUCACCUGUGUCACACCUGUGUCACCUGUGUCACCUCAUUGUCACCUGUGUCACCUGUGUCACACCUGCGGCGCUGGAGCUGCCCUACCCCUACCUGGAACCGUCCGUGGUGCAGGAGAGCAUCUCCAUCUGAUGGCACCUGUGUCACCUCAUUGUCACCUGUGUCACUGUGUCACCUGUGUCACCUGUGUCACCUCCCUGUGUCACCUGUGUCACCUCCCUGUGUCACACCUGUGUCACCUGUGUCACCUGUGUCACCUGUGUCACCUGUGUCACUGUGUCACCUGUGUCACCUGUGUCACCUCCCUGUGUCACCUGUGUCACCUCCCUGUGUCACACCUGUGUCACCUGUGUCACCUGUGUCACACCUGCGGCGCUGGAGCUGCCCUACCCCUACCUGGAACCUUCCGUGGUGCAGGAGAGCAUCUCCAUCUGAUGUCACCUGUGUCACCUCCUGUGUCACCUCCCUGUGUCACACCUGUGUCACACCUGUGUCACACCUGUGUCACACCUGCGGCGCUGGAGCUGCCCUACCCCUACCUGGAACCUGGGAUGGUCCAGGAGAGCAUCUCCAUCUGAUGGCAUUGUCACCUCAGUGUCACCUGUGUCACACCUGUGUCACCUGUGUCACACCUGUGUCACACCUGUGUCACACCUGUGUCACCUCCCUGUGUCACCUGUGUCACCUGUGUCACACCUGUGUCACACCUGUGUCACACCUGUGUCACACCUGUGUCACACCUGUGUCACCUCCCUGUGUCACCUGUGUCACCUGUGUCACACCUGUGUCACACCUGUGUCACACCUGUGUCACACCUGUGUCACCUCCCUGUGUCACCUGUGUCACCUGUGUCACACCUGUGUCACACCUGUGUCACACCUGUGUCACACCUGUGUCACCUCCCUGUGUCACCUGUGUCACCUGUGUCACACCUGUGUCACCUGUGUCACACCUGUGGCGCUGGAGCUGCCCUGCCCCUACCUGGAACCGUCCGUGGUGCAGGAGAGCAUCUCCAUCUGAUGGCACCUGUGUCACCUCUGUCACCUCCCUGUGUCACCUGUGUCACCUCAUUGUCACCUGUGUCACCUGUGGCACCACCAACCUGAGACCCUCCAGGAUGUCCCCAACGCUUUCUGGGAUGUCCCCAACCCCCCUGAGAUGUCCCCAAGAUGUUCCCAAGGUGUCCCUAAGGUGUCCCCAACCCCCCCAAGAUGUCCCCAAGGUGUCCCCAAGGUGUCUCCAAGGUGUCCCCCAAAAAAAUAUUUGGAAUAUCCCAAAAAAUUCCCGGGAAUGCCGUCAAAAAAAAAAAAAAUCUUGA